UGGACCUGAUCACAUGAUUGUGCCUUCUCUGGAAAAAACAAAUGUCAUGCAUGUAGCUCUCUCACGCACUCACUCACUCCCUCAAGCCAGCCAUAGAGGAAGAUUACCAGCCAUAAUUGUGCUAAAAAACUUGGAUGCUAUUGAUACUUAUGAUGUCAGGCCCAAGAAGAGAAAAUUAGAUCUAGAUGUCGAAUGGCAGGGCCGCUCAUGAAAGACAAAGGCAGAAGGCAAAAUAAUAGAUAUUGGAUGCUUUUCCGAGAUGGCCUCAAGGAAGAGAAACACUGUUGCCUCAUCCAGUGUUGGACAUCCAUAAAAGUAAUCUUCGGGCGAAAGACAAGAAUUACUGAUAGAAGAACAAGGAAUAGCAGAGCUGGGUUCAGACAUGCCAGAUGAUCAAACAUGCAAGAGGCUCUUGGCGUCAGAAUGGGCAAGAUGAGUAUUGCUGAUGAGGAUGAUGGCAGUUUGAAUGAGGAUGAGAUCAAUGACAUUCACAACAGCAUGAGAUGGACAUCGGCAGUCAUGACCCUCCAGUCCCACAUCCACCACACCUUGACCUUCCUGCGGCCUUGGCAAAAUCCCCUUACCGCACUGGAGUUGCAAUAAUCAAGCAAGAAACAUAUUGCUAUUCACACAGACAAUGUUCUUUUUCUGGAACUUUAUUUUUCAAAAAACAACCAGUGGACUUCUGAACUUUACAAAUAACUAAUAAAUUCACACAUGAACAAAUGUCAA